rnacentral:rRNA from 1 species
AUACGGAGGGUGUAAGCGUUGUUCGGAAUCACUGGGCGUAAAGGGCGCGCAGGCGGUUUGAUUAGUCAGAUGUGAAAGCCCACGGCUUAACCGUGGAAGUGCAUUUGAAACUGUCAGACUUGAGUAUCAGAGGGGAAAGUGGAAUUCCCGGUGUAGAGGUGAAAUUCGUAGAUAUCGGGAGGAAUACCGGUGGCGAAGGCGACUUUCUGGCUGAAUACUGACGCUGAGGCGCGAAAGCGUUGGGAGCAAACAGGAUUAGAAACCCGUGUAGUCC